rnacentral:snRNA from 1 species
AUUGCUUCUCGGCCUUUUGGCUAAGAUCAAGUGCAGAAGAUAUGUGGCUAUUUUAAAACUACUUGUAUAUACAGUAAUAUAUAUAUAGUAAUUUUGCUUUUCACCAUUUUGGCUUUUGGACAGGGUUUCCUCCUGGCUUGGUCAUUUAAA